CUAACCAGUCUGCUAUUCCAUCUCCACUUACCAGUCUGCUAUUCCAUCUCCUCUAACCAGUCCGCUAUUCCAUCUCCUCUAACCAGUCUGCUAUUCCAUCUCCUCUAUACCCCCCCUGCUCUCUCUCUCCCCAUGACAACCCUCAACCGGAGUGAUGUCUGCUCUAUUCAUGGUAUUUCUAUCUGGCUACUGAACCAGGCCCCGUUAAGGCACUCUAACGGUGUGUGGAUUUAGCCUGGUCCCAGAUCCGUUUGGGCUGUCUUGUCAACUCCUAUGGUCAUUACCUAGCCUGGUCCCAGAUCUGUUUGUGCUUUUCUUCAUAACCAACUAGAACGGUUAAUGACCAUAGGAGUUGACAAGACAGCCCUAACAGAUCUGGGACCAGGCUAGGUAAUGACAAGACAGCCCAAACAGAUCUGGGACCAGGCUAGUGUUGCUUUGGAAACGCUGUGAUCAUAUUAACUGUGAAGUUAGCCCAUUGUUACGUCCUUAUGUCUGUUUUUACUUGAAGCAAGGAUACAUCCCAAAUGGCACCCUAUUCCCUAUGGGCCCUGUUUAAACAGUGCACUAUAAAGGGAAUGGCUCCCUAUGGGCCCUGUUUAAACAGUGCACUAUAAAGGGAAUGGCUCCCUAUGGGCCCUGUUUAAACAGUGCAUUAUAAAGGGAAUGGCUCCCUAUGGGCCCUGUUUAAACAGUGCAUUAUAAAGGGAAUGGCUCCCUAUGGGCCCUGUUUAAACAGUGCAUUAUAAAGGGAAUGGCUCCCUAUGGGCCCUGUUUAAACAGUGCAUUAUAAAGGGAAUUGCUCCCUAUGGGCCCUGUUUAAACAGUGCACUAUAAAGGGAAUGGCUCCCUAUGGGCCCUGUUUAAACAGUGCACUAUAAAGGGAAUGGCUCCCUAUGGGCCCUGUUUAAACAGUGCACUAUAAAGGGAAUGGCUCCCUAUGGGCCCUGUUUAAACAGUGCACUAUAAAGGGAAUGGCUCCCUAUGGGCCCUGUUUAAACAGUGCAUUAUAAAGGGAAUGGCUCCCUAUGGGCCCUGUUUAAACAGUGCACUAUAAAGGGAAGCGGGUGCCAUUUGAGAUGGAACCCAAGACGACGUGUAAAGUUGAAGCAUGAUCUGAUUAGUGUGAACUAAGUAUAAAGCUCUUUGUGAUUGUAUUUCCUCAUUAGAAGUGCAUUUUUUAAUAUAAACUUUGUUUUUCCCCCAUCUCGAAGAAUGUGAUGUUUUCAGUGGCAUUAAGUUUGUUAUAAAUGGGACAAAUAUACAAGGACCAUGAACUUUACAGAUCUUAUCAAGUGAAUUACUAUAUGCAGUAAAAAAAAUAUAAAAAAAAGUAGUUUUAAAAGAAAUGAUGGAACAUAGUUUGAAGCACCUUGUCCAGUGUAGGGAAAUGUUCUGUGUGUGUGUAGAAGACGGGUGUAUUCAUUCCGCUGAUUCUGUUGCAAAACGUUUCGACCUACCUGAAUUUGUCCAAUAGAAACUGUUUGUUUUUCCCCGUCCAUUUCAAUUCAGGCAGUAAAAUGAAAUGUCAAUCCCAAACCUGGCAGAAUUACAGCCAUGUCUUUGUGUGUAGCGAUUUAAAAAGGAAAGAUUCACUCAUUUUUGAUUGUUCUUGUGCAUCUCUGAACGAUGUUCGUAUCGGAGUUAGGAGAAAUACAGCUGGUAUGACAAGUUGAGUCACAACAUCGCAAGUCAAAAUGGGUGAAUCUUUCCUUUGUUUUAUAUGGGACAAACAUACAAGGACUGUGAAUUAUUACUACCUGCAUUAGUCCCUGAGUGUAACUAUUGUUCUUAUGCAGUGGUUUCAGAAUUGCCUUGAGUCUUUUGAAAUAAACAUGGACUUUGUUCACUCAGUGUGAGAUUAGAA
ensembl:lncRNA